AGUUCGAGCGGACAGUAGGGAGUUGCUCCUGAGUUCAGCGGCGGACGGGUGAGUAACACGUGGGUAACCUGCCUGUAAGACUGGGAUAACUCCGGGAAACCGGGGCUAAUACCGGAUGCUUGAUUGAACCGCAUGGUUCAAUUAUAAAAGGUGGCUUUUAGCUACCACUUACAGAGGGACCCGCGGCGCAUUAGCUAGUUGGGGAGGUAACGGCUCACCAAGGCAACGAUGCGUAGCCAACCUGAGAGGGUGAUCGGCCACACUGGGACUGAAACACGGCCCAAACUCCUACGGGAGGCAGCAGUAGGGAAUCUUCCGCAUGGACGAAAGUUUGACGGAGCACCGCCGCGUGAGUGAUGAAGGUUUUCGGAUCGUAAAACUUUGUUGUUAGGGAAGAACAAGUCCCGUUCGAAUAGGGCGGUACCUUGACGGUCCCUAACCAGAAAGCCACGGUUAACUACGUGCCAGCAGCCGCGG
rnacentral:rRNA from 1 species